rnacentral:lncRNA from 1 species
GAACUCUUUAAGGGUUAAAUCUGUAUCAGACCAUCUGGAAGCACAAGCAGCCAGCAUUCGGGUUGUAACUCAAGAUCUUGUUCAUAAGUUAAAACUAAUACUCCAGUUGUGACCCAAGUUGUUCAUAUAUCAGGCUGGUCGUAACUCGAGUCCACUGCGUUGUGAAAAACUUGAGAAUAUUAAAGAGAUUUUGGUUAUGUAGGGUUUUUUUUUUAAAGCAGUGGCAAAGUUUACUGGAGAAAGUGAAAGUGAAGAGUUGGAAGAAACUGGCUCUGCAGAGCGAGCGUGGGCUGAGGAAAGAGAAAGGGGAACAGGAGAGGUACAUGCUGGCCUGGGAAACAGCUAACGACAGAAACUGAAACAAGAAUCUUUAAAACAUCUGAACAUCCAAGGACACGGCCUGGAUGGUGGAGAACUUUACAUUGGCGGGCGCAGGCCUGGAGGAGGGAAAAGCCUCCCGGAAGUCGUUCCUGCCUGGUGCACCUGUGAACAGGUCAUGGGGACACACGACACACUUGUGAAACCACCACCACCACAACUGAGAUACAGUAAUGAGCUGUUGAUCCCCUCCAAACUUUCUGGGGCCAGACCGCAGCGGUGCACGUCCGAAAUCCCAGCUAUGCAAGAGGCUGAGACGGAAGGAUCAUGUUUGAAUCCAGCCUGGGGAACUUGGGAUCGAACUCAGGACCUUGCACUUGCAAGGCAGACGGUGGAACCACUGAGAGGAUGUCUUCUGCAGGACAGGCUUCAGCGGCAUGCCACAGGAAACAGGAGAGUGGCCUUUGAACAGAC